CCAGAGAAGGAGGAGGUAGCUGGAACAAAGACACAAAAGCAGGCUCGAUGUAUGUGACAGAAGAUUCUGAAAUCCCUUCAGAUAUUAGGUUCUUCUGCCAAGGGUUCAAGAGACAGCCAUCCAUUAGCACCAAUUAUACUGAAGCAAAUACAAGGACAUCAGCACGUCAAUAGAUGAAACAACGAGGAGAUGCUCAAAAACCAACGUCAUCUUGUCUGCGAAGUUGCCCCUGACCAAUCUAUUGACGAGCAGCAGCCUGCCGGGUUGUGACUCAGGUCCUGGAGCCAGAGGGUUGGAUGCCACCUCUU
rnacentral:lncRNA from 1 species